rnacentral:rRNA from 1 species
AGCAGUGGGGAAUUUUGGACAAUGGGCGAAAGCCUGAUCCAGCAAUGCCGCGUGAGUGAAGUAGGCCUUCGGGUUGUAAAGCUCUUUUGUCAGGGAAGAAACGGUGAGAGCUAAUAUCUCUUGCUAAUGACGGUACCUGAAGAAUAAGCACCGGCUAACUACGUGCCAGCAGCCGCGGUAAUACGUAGGGUGCAAGCGUUAAUCGGAAUUACUGGGCGUAAAGCGUGCGCAGGCGGUUUUGUAAGUCUGAUGUGAAAUCCCCGGGCUCAACCUGGGAAUUGCAUUGGAGACUGCAAGGCUAGAAUCUGGCAGAGGGGGGUAGAAUUCCACGUGUAGCAGUGAAAUGCGUAGAUAUGUGGAGGAACACCGAUGGCGAAGGCAGCCCCCUGGGUCAAGAUUGACGCUCAUG